rnacentral:sRNA from 1 species
AAGUGCUUCAUGUUGCUGAACUGGGAAUGAUAGGGAAAAAGGCAGGCUCGGGGCACAAGAUAAUGAGUCAGGGUGUAGUCCUGUUGACGCUCUCCCCACCAUCUGGUGGCCGUUCCUCUCCCAGCCACCUCCUCGUCCCUCAUGGUAUUCCCGUGUUCCUGCAGCCCCUCUCCAUCUCCUUGUCACCCCUUCCUCCUGUACUCGUCCAGGCCUCCUCUAGCCCGUGGAAUCCAACCCCGGCUCCUGUCAGCAGCCCUCCCCUGCUGCUCCCCAUCCCUGCCAUCGUCUUCAUCGCUGUGGGCAUCUAUUUGUUGCUGCUGGGUCUAGUCCUGCUGACUAGGAACUGCCUGCUGGCCCAGGGCUGCUGCGCGGACGGUAGCUCCCCCUGCAGGAAGCAAGGUUCCUCCGGGCCCCCAGACUGCUGCUGGACCUGUGCAGAAGCCUGCAACUUUCCUCUGCCUAGCCCGGCCCACUUCCUGGAUGCCUGCUGCCCCCAGCCCACCAGAGCUG